rnacentral:rRNA from 1 species
ACGCUCGACACCUACGGGAGGCAGCAGUCGGGAAUAUUGCGCAAUGGAGGAAACUCUGACGCAGUGACGCCGCGUGCAGGAAGAAGGUUUUCGGAUUGUAAACUGCUUUAGACAGGGAAGAAAGAAUGACAGUACCUGUAGAAUAAGCUCCGGCUAACUACGUGCCAACAGCCGCGGUAAUCUGAGCGGCUGGCAAGGC